UGUUUACUCUUUCAGACGGAUAAUAAUGAC
rnacentral:piRNA from 1 species